rnacentral:rRNA from 1 species
UACAGAGGUCCCGAGCGUUGUCCGGAUUUACUGGGCGUAAAGAGCGCGUAGGCGGUCUGUUAAGUCAGAAGUGAAAUCUCCAGGGCUCAACCCGGAAACUGCUUUUGAUACUGAUAGACUUGAGUGUCGGAGAGGUAACUGGAAUUCCUGGUGUAGCGGUGACAUGCAUUGAUAUCAGGAGGAACACCCAUGGCGAAGGCAGGUUACUGGCCGACAACUGACGCUGAGGCGCGAAAGCGUGGGUAGCAAACAGA